CAAUAGCGUAUAUUAAAGUUGUUGCGGUUAAAAAGCUCGUAGUUGGAUUUCUGCUGAGAACGACCGGUCCGCCCUUUGGGUGUGUAUCCGGCUCUUUCUUGGCAUCUUCUUGGUGAACGUUGCUGCACUUGACUGUGUGGAGCGCUACCCAGGACUUUUACUUUGAGGAAAUUAGAGUGUUUCAAGCAGGCAUACGCCUUGAAUACAUUAGCAUGGAAUAAUAAGAUAGGACCUCGGUUCUAUUUUGUUGGUUUCUAGAGCUGAGGUAAUGAUUAAUAGGGAUAGUUGGGGGCAUUCGUAUUUAACUGUCAGAGGUGAAAUUCUUGGAUUCGUUAAAGACGGACUACUGCGAAAGCAUUUGCCAAGGAUGUUUUCAUUGA
rnacentral:rRNA from 1 species